ACAGCUUCACAGGCAGAACACAACACACAGAUGCAAGGUCUCCUGAUGGCAGAAAACCUUAUAACCAGAGACGGGGUUACUCCGUGUUAGCCAGGAUGGUCUCGAUCUCCUGACCUCGUGAUCCACCUGCCUUGGCCUCCCAAAGUGCUGGGAUUCUGUAAUCCCAGUGAGCCACCGCGCCUGGCCCAUAAUCAACCUCAGCUGCCAACGCCAGAAUCAACCUCAGCUGCCAAAUGCUAGACUGAAAAAAGAAUGUAAACAGCUUGAUGGAGGGGAGGAUCCUGGUGCACCUGUGGUUUUGACAGCUUUUGCUGCUGCUUGAGGAGGAAACAGGUUGCCUGUUUGUUCUUCAAGAGCACUUCUGGCAUCCAGGUAUUAUGCAGGCAUGCACUGCCAGCUGUGAAAGAUGCCGCUUCCUUGUCACUUCAGAGAAUGAUGCUUCUACAGAAGAUCCCUCUUGCUAUUUCAUUCAGGGAGCUCGGGAGAGGAAGACAAAAAGAAUCAAAUGCAAAGCACAGAUCAUUGAAAGGGCCAGGGUCUGAAGUGAGACAACUCGUGUCACAGUGUUUUCAAACUUGAGAAUGAAGAGAAGAAAGGAAAUUUGGUUUGAUGUUAUCAGUUUUGAUUUGCUAACCCAAAAGGUCCAGAAUAAAGAACAAAUCAUUAUAAA
rnacentral:lncRNA from 1 species